AGAAGGACUUCUGUCAUUGUUUUUUUAGUGUUUAGGUUCUAAUGUGUAUACUAUUAAAAGGACUCUUCUUACGUAUCCUCACAGACAUCCCUCUACGGCUGCUGCGACGCAGGGACAAUGACCCACUCAGGGCUCACGUCAGCUGGUGGAAAGGCAGCAGCAACAAAGAGGCAGAGAACGCACAUCGUAGAGGAGCACUGAAAACGGCAGCCAACCACUGACAACACUGUGGCUGCAUUACACUGACCUCAGCUGGGAUAGCAAACGGGCCACCACAAGGAAACCGGAUACAGACAACCAGGAAAAACUCUAAUACGCUUGCGGGACUAGAAAAGGCGGUGGAUGUCAAGUGCUGCUGUUAGCCCAAGGGAGACCUUGGGAAGCACAGGUCGCAGGUUUCCUGAUUGCCUAACUCUGAGGCUCUGUAUAAACUAGAUAAACGCAGGUGUCCUGUAAACUGCCUGCCCUCCUGACAGGCCAAAGGAGACCCUGCUGCUUCCCCGUCAGCUCC